CACGUAGGGGCCAAGCGUUGUCCGGAUUUAUUGGGCGUAAAGAGCUCGUAGGCGGUUCGGUAAGUCGGGUGUGAAACCUCCAGGCUCAACCUGGAGACGCCACCCGAUACUGCUGUGACCUGAGUCCGGUAGGGGAGCGUGGAAUUCCUGGUGUAGCGGUGAAAUGCGCAGAUAUCAGGAGGAACACCAGCGGCGAAGGCGGCGCUCUGGGCCGGAACUGACGCUGAGGAGCGAAAGCGUGGGUAGCAAACAGG
rnacentral:rRNA from 1 species